rnacentral:rRNA from 1 species
UAGCUCGUUGGUGAGGUAAAAGCUCACCAAGGCGACGAUCUGUAGCGGGUCUGAGAGGAUGAUCCGCCACACUGGAACUGAGACACGGUCCAGACUCCUACGGGAGGCAGCAGUGGGGAAUUUUGGACAAUGGGGGCAACCCUGAUCCAGCCAUGCCGCGUGAGUGAAGAAGGCCUUCGGGUUGUAAAGCUCUUUCAGCCGGGAAGAAAACGCAUGGGUUAAUACCCUGUGUGGAUGACGGUACCGGAAUAAGAAGCACCGGCUAACUACGUGCCAGCAGCCGCGGUAAUACGUAGGGUGCGAGCGUUAAUCGGAAUUACUGGGCGUAAAGCGUGCGCAGGCGGUUUUGUAAGACAGGCGUGAAAUCCCCGGGCUUAACCUGGGAACUGCGUUUGUGACUGCAAGGCUAGAGUACGGCAGAGGGGGGUGGAAUUCCACGUGUAGCAGUGAAAUGCGUAGAGAUGUGGAGGAACACCAAUGGCGAAGGCAGCCCCCUGGGUCGAUACUGACGCUCAUGCACGAAAGCGUGGGUAGCAAACAGGAUUAGAUACCCUGGUAGUCCACGCCCUAAACGAUGUCAACUAGGUGUUGGGAGGGUAAAACCUUUUAGUACCGGAGCUAACGCGUGAAGUUGACCGCCUGGGGAGUACGGCCGCAAGGUUAAAACUCAAAGGAAUUGACGGGGACUCGCACAAGCGGUGGAUGAUGUGGAUUAAUUCGAUGCAACGCGAAAAACCUUACCUACCCUUGGCAUGCCAAGAACUUUCCAGAGAUGGAUUGGUGCCCGAAAGGGAACUUGGACACAGGUGCUGCAUGGCUGUCGUCAGCUCGUGUCGUGAGAUGUUGGGUUAAGUCCCGCAACGAGCGCAACCCUUGUCGUUAAUUGCCAUCAUUUAGUUGGGCACUUUAACGAGACUGCCGGUGACAAACCGGAGGAAGGUGGGGAUGACGUCAAGUCCUCAUGGCCCUUAUGGGUAGGGCUUCACACGUCAUACAAUGGUCGGUACAAAGGGUCGCCAAGCCGCGAGGUGGAGCCAAUCCCAGAAAGCCGAUCGUAGUCCGGAUCGCAGUCUGCAACUCGACUGCGUGAAGUCGGAAUCGCUAGUAAUCGUGGAUCAGAAUGUCACGGUGAAUACGUUCCCGGGUCUUGUACACACCGCCCGUCACACCAUGGGAGCGGGUUCCGCCAGAAGUAGGUAGCCUAACCGCAAGGAGGGCACUUACCACGGCGGGGUUCGUGACUGGGGUGAAGUCGUAACAAGGUAGCCGUAGGGGAACCUGCGGCUG